GGAUGCGAUCAUACCAGCACUAAAGCACCGGAUCCCAUCAGAACUCCGAAGUUAAGCGUGCUUGGGCGAGAGUAGUACUAGGAUGGUUGACCUCCUGGGAAGUCCUCUGUUGCAUUCC
rnacentral:rRNA from 1 species